AUGCCGCGUGUGUGAAGAAGGCCUGAGGGUUGUAAAGCACUUUCAGUGGGGAGGAGGAUAGCAUGGUUAAGAGCUGAGCUAUUGGACGUUACCUACAGAAGAAGCACCGGCUAACUCCGUGCCAGCAGCCGCGGUAAUACGGAGGGUGCGAGCGUUAAUCGGAAUUACUGGGCGUAAAGGGUGCGUAGGUGGUUAAAUAAGUUAGAUGUAAAAACCCUGGGCUUAACCUAGGACUGAGAUUUAAUACUGUUUAACUAGAGUAUGGGAGAGGGUAGUGGAAUUUCCGGUGUAGCGGUGAAAUGCGUAGAGAUCGGAAGGAACACCAGUGGCGAAGGCGGCUACCUGGCCUAAUACUGACACUGAGGCACGAAAGUCGUGGGGAGCAAACCAGGAUUAGAUAUCCCUGGUAGUCCAACGCUGUAAAGCGAUGUCAANUAGCCGUUG
rnacentral:rRNA from 1 species